rnacentral:rRNA from 1 species
UGGGGAAUAUUGGACAAUGGGGGCAACCCUGAUCCAGCCAUGCCGCGUGCGUGAAGAAGGCCUUGGGUUUGUAAAGCGCUUUCAGCGGGGACGAUGAUGACGGUACCCGCAGAAGAAGCCCCGGCUAACUCCGUGCCAGCAGCCGCGGUAAUACGGAGGGCGCAAGCGUUGUUCGGAAUUACUGGGCGUAAAGCGCGCGUAGGCGGUUUUGUAAGUCGGAUGUGAAAUCCCCGGGCUUAACCUGGGAACUGCAUUCGAUACUGCUUAACUAGAGUAUGGUAGAGGGAAGUGGAAUUUCCGGUGUAGCGGUGAAAUGCGUAGAUAUCGGAAGGAACACCAGUGGCGAAGGCGACUUCCUGGGCCAAUACUGACGCUGAGGUGCGAAAGCGUGGGGAGCAAACAGGAUUAGAUACCCCCGUAGUCC